rnacentral:rRNA from 1 species
UUGGCUCAGGAUGAACGCUGGCGGCGUGCCUAACACAUGCAAGUCGAACGAAGCACUUUCAAACGGAGAUUCGUCGAAGUUUGGAUUUGACUUAGUGGCGGACGGGUGAGUAAUGUGUGAGCAACCUGCCUUUCAGAGGGGGACAACAGUUGGAAACGACUGCUAAUACCGCAUAAUGUAUUUGGGUGGCAUCGCCUGGAUACCAAAGGAGCAAUCCGCUGAAAGAUGGGCUCACAUCUGAUUAGCUAGUUGGUGGGGUAACGGCUCACCAAGGCUGCGAUCAGUAGCCGGACUGAGAGGUUGAACGGCCACAUUGGGACUGAGAUACGGCCCAGACUCCUACGGGAGGCAGCAGUGGGGAAUA